AAUUAUAGUUGUGCCAGGAAUUGUUUUGCAUAUCAAAAGAAAAAUUAUUCAAAAGAGAAAAUCAGAUAAUGACAUUGUAAUGGAAUGCAGUCCAGCUUAUGCUACAACUGAAUUUAAAACAAAAUCAACUGUUGAGCCAGUGUAUGAUGAAACUAAGUCAGAGCCUCCUACUUCUCUUCCACCCUCUACUGAAUAUGAAACAUAAUGUACUCAUCUUUUACGUACGCUAGAUCUAGUUAGUAAUGCAGAUUAUGUCAAU